rnacentral:rRNA from 1 species
AACGAACGCUGGCGGCAUGCCUAACACAUGCAAGUCGAACGAGACCUUCGGGUCUAGUGGCGCACGGGUGCGUAACGCGUGGGAACCUGCCCUUAGGUUCGGAAUAACUCCCCGAAAGGGGUGCUAAUACCGGAUAAUGUCUUCGGACCAAAGAUUUAUCGCCUUUGGAUGGGCCCGCGUUGGAUUAGCUAGUUGGUAGGGUAAAAGCCUACCAAGGCGACGAUCCAUAGCUGGUCUGAGAGGAUGAUCAGCCACACUGGGACUGAGACACGGCCCAGACUCCUACGGAAGGCAGCAAUGGGAAAUAUUGGGCAAUGGGCGAAAGCCUGAUCCAGCUAUGCCGCGUGAGUUAUGAAGGCCUUAGGGUUGUAAAGCUCUUUUACCCAGGAUGAUAAUGACAGUACCGGGAGAAUAAACUCCGGCUGACUCCGUG